rnacentral:rRNA from 1 species
AUUGAACGCUGGCGGCAGGCUUAACACAUGCAAGUCGAGCGGGGUGAUGGUGCUUGCACUAUCACUUAGCGGCGGACGGGUGAGUAAUGCUUAGGAAUCUGCCUAUUAGUGGGGGACAACAUCUCGAAAGGGAUGCUAAUACCGCAUACGUCCUACGGGAGAAAGCAGGGGAUCACUUGUGACCUUGCGCUAAUAGAUGAGCCUAAGUCGGAUUAGCUAGUUGGUGGGGUAAAGGCCUACCAAGGCGACGAUCUGUAGCGGGUCUGAGAGGAUGAUCCGCCACACUGGGACUGGGACACGGCCCAGACUCCUACGGGAGGCAGCAGUGGGGAAUAUUGGACAAGGGGGGGAACCCUGAACCAGCCAUGCCGCGUGUGUGAAGAAGGCCUUAUGGUUGUAAAGCACUUUAAGCGAGGAGGAGGCUCUUUUGGUUAAUACCCAAGAUGAGUGGACGUUACUCGCAGAAUAAGCACCGGCUAACUCUGUGCCAGCCGCCGCCGUAA